rnacentral:rRNA from 1 species
CAAUAGCGUAUAUUAAAGUUGUUGCAGUUAAAAAGCUCGUAUUGGUAGCUCUUGAUGUGGGACUGCGCCCCGGUAUUUUGCCGUUGGGUGCGGGCUCGCGUCUUCCUCUCGUAGUUGGAUGGUGCACUUAACUGGGUGCCUUCUGAAUAUGGGACCUUACUUGAAAAAUUAGAGUGUUCAAAGCAGGCAAUCGCUUGAAUACAUUAGCAUGGAAUAAUAGAAUAGGACUUUGGUUCUAUUUUGUGGUUUCUAGGACCGAAGUAAUGAUUAAUAGGGACAGUUGGGGGCAUUAGUAUUUAAUUGUCAGAGGUGAAAUUCUUGGAUUUACGAAAGAUAAACUUCUGCGAAAGCAUUCGGCAAGGAUGUUUUCAUUGAUCAAGAACGAAAGUUAGGGGAUCGAAGACGAUCAGAU